rnacentral:rRNA from 1 species
AGAAGUGGCGCACGGGUGCGUAACACGUGGAUGACCUACCCCUUGGUUCGGGACAACAGCGGGAAACUGCUGCUAAUACCGGAUGUGUCGUAGCAAUACGAGAAGGCCCGCAAGGGUCGCCAGAGGACGGGUCCGCGUCCCAUCAGCUAGUUGGUGAGGUAAUGGCUCACCAAGGCGAAGACGGGUAGCUGGUCUGAGAGGAUGAUCAGCCACACUGGAACUGAGACACGGUCCAGACUCCUACGGGAGGCAGCAGUGGGGAAUAUUGCGCAAUGGGCGAAAGCCUGACGCAGCCACGCCGCGUGAGCGAUGAAGGUCUUCGGAUCGUAAAGCUCUGUGGGGGGAGAAGAAGAAAGUCGGUGAAGAGCCGGCCCUGACGGUAUCCCCUUAGCAAGCACCGGCUAACUCCGUGCCAGCAGCCGCGGUAAUACGGAGGGUGCAAACGUUGCUCGGAAUCAUUGGGCGUAAAGCGCGCGUAGGCGGCUGAACAAGUUGGAUGUGAAAGCCCUG